GGACCGCGGGUUCGAAUCCCGCUCCGGCCGGCCGGGAGGCCACGGGCUGCCAGCGUAGGAUCUGCGGGACGGCGGAGCUGCUCAGGAAAACACGGCGAUUAAUAAUGCUGAGCGGACACAUGUGAACCCAACUGGAGAGACACCACUGUCUUUUAAAAUACAUUUUCCUGCAAGCAAACCUGAAGCAAAACCACAUUUCUCACUCUGAUUUCUCAGAUUUGAUGCUGGAAUGAAAGUAGCUCUACAGAAAACAGAACCAUCUUCAGUGAAGAACAGGAAUUUUAUUUAAAUCUUCAUGCGUAGGCAUGAUAGACCCCAAUUUUACUUCAGCAAAUAUCACAACAAAAAAAAAUCCAAGCAGCCUAUACAGAACAGUGAAAUUGCCAAGGAUGUGGGCUCUCCACAGUGCCACUGCAGAAUCCAUGGGUUCAGAAGCCUCACUUUGGCUACGUCAUUUAUAACCAUUAAUUAAAUAAAGGUAGUCUUCAACCAUCACUUCUUGACUUCUCCAAGAUCUUCAAUGCUAUCAUCAUCCACCUAGGGGGGAAAAAAAAAAGGGCAAAACACCACAUUAAAUGUAUUUCCUUCUUGCAUGUCCCAUCACUAGACAGGUAAUGAAAUGGAGAAGCUUUCAGCACUCCAUGUUCUGGGAGUCUGGCUUUUUUUGGACAGGUGAAACAGUGUUCAACUUUAAUCACUCCUUAACCUAAUUGCUGAUAGGGGGGCAACAAUGGGUUGUUUACUUCUGCCCCACAGCCUGUGCUGCCACAGAUUACACCUGCUUCUGAAAAUCACUGGAAAGGUCGCAGGCUAUGACUGAAAACUAGAGCUCUUACAGAAGAAACCGCUGAUUACCUCAGGCCACUUCUCCUGGAUUACAUCAAUAAUGUCAUCUGUGAAAUCGCCCUGAAUGAUGAUUUCAUCUUCUCCUGUUACUGAGGCACCGCAGGAAAAUUUCUGAGCAAAAAACCUUUGUGCUUCCUUGAGGUCGAUUUCUGUGUAUGGGAAAACUGGCAGUUUAAGUACAGUCAUCAUCACAUUAGAUCUACUCAUAAUUAAAACUGUUUUAACCA